UACGGGGGGGGCGAGCGUUAUCCGGAGUUACUGGGCGUAAAGGGCGUGUAGGCGGUAUGUUAAGUCUGGCGUGAAAGCUCUCGGCUAAACCGGGAGAGGUCGUUGGAUACUGGCAAACUAGAGGAUGGUAGAGGCGUGUGGAAUUCCGGGUGUAGUGGUGAAAUGCGUAGAGAUCCGGAGGAACACCAGUGGCGAAGGCGACACGCUGGGCCAUACCUGACGCUAAAGCGCGACAGCAUGGGGAGCAAACGGG
rnacentral:rRNA from 1 species